GCCUAGUUGGCUCAGUUGGAAGAGCAUGAAACUCUUGAUCUCCGGACUGUGGGUUUAAGCCCCAUGUUGGGUG
rnacentral:tRNA from 1 species